GUCACGGAUUGAGCUUUGAUGAGCUGGGUUUUCUUGAGCUCCGGAUCAUGUUUUUCCUCUUCACUUAUUCUGGACUCUGUGGUUAAAGUCAUUGUGUUCCCAAAGUCAUGUUCCAGCAUAUGCAUUUUUGAGUUUUAUUUGACCAUUUCGAGAAAUACAAGAUUCACUAGGCUUCUGGGGUACACAGCAAAAAGAAGUGCUAAUUGUCAAACACCUCAAUGAUUGUAAGAACAAGAAGGAGAAAGAAAAGAGACUGUUCUUCAAGUGGAAGGAAGGUUCAGACUAUCCUGUUUGUACAAUUUUGAAAAUUGAGAAAAUGUCAGUUGCUUGUGAGCUGUUGCAAUGAAAUAAAAAUCCUCAUCUAUUUAUUUAUUUGGUGUGU
rnacentral:lncRNA from 1 species